rnacentral:rRNA from 1 species
CUCUUUCUCGAUUCAGUGGAUGGUGGUGCAUGGCCGUUCUUAGUUGGUGGAGUGAUCUGUCUGGUUAAUUCCGAUAACGAACGAGACUCUCCCCUGCUAACUAGUCGGUUGGAUCUUGAUCAGUGGGUUGAGUGCCGAGUAACUCUCGCUGUGCGUGUUGUGCGUCGCGUUCCUCACGGUUCGUUGCGUGCUCAUGUGUGGCGUUGGAUGCCUUGGAUCACACUGCACCCCAAGUCCGCCGCUUUGCUAUAACUCUUCUUAGAGGGAUUCACGGCACUGAAGCCGUAAGAGACUGAGAGCAAUAACAGGUCUGUGAUGCCCUUAGAUGCUCUGGGCCGCACGCGCGCUACAAUGCCGGGCACAGCAGGUGUUUCUCCUGCUCCGACAGGAGCGGGUAACCCUCUGAAAGCCAGUGUUCUUGCAAGUGCUUCCUCCCUCGUGGAGUUGCACAGAGGCGUGCUUGGGCCUGGGACUUGCAAUUCUUUCCCACCAACGAGGAAUGCCUAGUAGCGGCGGGUCACUGAGCCCGCUGUGACUCAGUCCCUGCCCUUUGUACACACCGCCCGUCGCUACUACCGAUUGGGUGUACCAGUGAGAGCCUUGGACUGGCGUCCGUUGUUGCUCGCAAGAGU